GUGCCAGCCGCCGCGGUAAUACGGAGGAUCCAAGCGUUAUCCGGAUUCAUUGGGUUUAAAGGGUCCGCAGGCGGGGCGCUAAGUCAGUGGUGAAAGCCUACCGCUCAACGGUAGGACUGCCAUUGAUACUGGUGCUCUUGAGUGUAGUUGAAGUGGGCGGAAUGAGUCAUGUAGCGGUGAAAUGCAUAGAUAUGACUCAGAACACCGAUUGCGAAGGCAGCUCACUAAGCUAACACUGACGCUCAGGGACGAAAGCGUGGGUAGCAAACAGGAUUAGAUACCCGAGUAGUCC
rnacentral:rRNA from 1 species